rnacentral:rRNA from 1 species
UACGUAGGGUGCGAGCGUUGUCCGGAAUUACUGGGCGUAAAGAGCUCGUAGGCGGUUUGUCGCGUUGUUCGUGAAAACCGGGGGCUUAACCCUCGGCGUGCGGGCGAUACUGGCAGACUUGAGUACUGCAGGGGAGACUGGAAUUCCUGGUGUAGCGGUGGAAUGCGCAGAUAUCAGGAGGAACACCGGUGGCGAAGGCGGGUCUCUGGGCAGUAACUGACGCUGAGGAGCGAAAGCGUGGGGAGCGAACAGG